rnacentral:lncRNA from 1 species
GGACGGCGGGGGGGUCACACGCAGGGCUGCGGCGAGACACCCCCAGCCUUCACGUGGGCGGCUCCGAAGCGGGGAGAAAGGGGUCGAGAGCGGCAGCAAGAGUUCAGCAUCAGCGAGGUCUCUUGCAGGAGCUUGGUCGAAAGGACACUCCCCAGCACCUUGUCAUCUGAUGAAGAUUGGCACAAGUCACCCAGAGAAGCGGCGGUGCCCCGUCCCUGCAGGCAGCCGAGCUCAGACCGGAUGGGCUGUGAGCACUGCUGGAGCUGUGUGUGUCCCUGUGCACUGCAGAGGCUUGGACUGGAUGGCCUUUCGGGGUCCCUUCCAACACAAACAGUUCUGUAAUUCUAUGACUCCUUUAACAUCAGCCUGCCUUGGUCCGUGACCAUGCAAAUAAAAACUUCCUUACUGCCUGCUGCA